AGUACAGACGAGUUUGAUCAUGGCUCAGGACUAACGCUGGCGGCGUGCCUAACACAUGCAAGUCAUAGGGGCUAAUUUCCUUCGGGAGAUUGGUCACUGGCGCACGGGUGCGUAACGCGUAAGUUAUCUGCCCUUGGGUCUGGCAUAACGUCGGGAAACCGGCGCUAAUUCCAGAUGAUAUCGUAAGAUCAAAGCCUUCGGGCGCCCAAGGAUGAGCUUGCGUCUGAUUAGCUUGUUGGCGGGGUAAUGGCCCACCAAGGCAACGAUCAGUAGCCGGUCUGAGAGGAUGAUCGGCCACAUUGGGACUGAGACACGGCCCAGACUCCUACGGGAGGCAGCAGUAAGGAAUAUUGCGCAAUGGACGAAAGUCUGACGCAGCAACGCCGCGUGCAGGAUGAAGGCCCUUUGGGUUGUAAACUGCUGUAGAAAGGGAAUAAUAGUUUGCCACGGGUGAACUUGGAGGUACCUUUAAAGUAAGCGCCGGCUAACUACGUG
rnacentral:rRNA from 1 species